rnacentral:rRNA from 1 species
AUUGAACGCUGGCGGCAGGCCUAACACAUGCAAGUCGAGCGGAUGAAGGGAGCUUGCUCUUGGAUUCAGCGGCGGACGGGUGAGUAAUGCCUAGGAAUCUGCCUGGUAGUGGGGGAUAACGUCCGGAAACGGGCGCUAAUACCGCAUACGUUCUGAGGGAGAAAGUGGGGGUUCUUCGGACCUCACGCUAUCAGAUGAGCCUAGGUCGGAUUAGCUAGUUGGUGGGGUAAAGGCCUACCAAGGCGACGAUCCGUAACUGGUCUGAGAGGAUGAUCAGUCACACUGGAACUGAGACACGGUCCAGACUCCUACGGGAGGCAGCAGUGGGGAAUAUUGGACAAUGGGCGAAAGCCUGAUCCAGCCAUGCCGCGUGUGUGAAGAAGGUCUUCGGAUUGUAAAGCACUUUAAGUUGGGAGGAAGGGCAGUAAGUUAAUACCUUGCUGUUCUGACGUUACCAACAGAAUAAGCACCGGCUAACUUCGUG